GACGAACGCUGGCGGCGUGCUUAACACAUGCAAGUCGAGCGGAAAGGCCACUUCGGUGGUACUCGAGCGGCGAACGGGUGAGUAACACGUGAGUAAUCUGCCCUUGGCUUUGGGAUAGCCACCGGAAACGGUGAUUAAUACCGGAUACGACCACUUCUCGCAUGGGAUGGUGGUGGAAAGUUUUUCGGCCAGGGAUGUGCUCGCGGCCUAUCAGCUUGAUGGUGAGGUAAUGGCUCACCAUGGCUUCGACGGGUAGCCGGCCUGAGAGGGUGGCGGGUAGGACUGGGAGGGGCACGCGGCCGAGACUCCUACGGGAGGCAGCAGUGGGGAAUAGUGCGCAAUGGGCGAAAGCCUGGCGGAGCGACGCCGCGUGGGGGAUGACGGCCUUCGGGUUGUACACCUCUUUCAGCAGGGACGAAGCGCAAGUGACGGUACCUGCAGAAGAAGCACCGGCCAACUACGUGCCAGCCGCCGCGGUAAAAC
rnacentral:rRNA from 1 species